rnacentral:snRNA from 1 species
UCGGAAAAGAGGAUCUUGCCCUG